rnacentral:rRNA from 1 species
GGUUAAGUGACUAAGCGUACAGGGCGGAUGCCUUGGCAAUCAGAGGCGAUGAAGGACGUGCUAAUCUGCGAAAAGCUUGGAUGAGUCGAUAAGAGGCGUUUAAUCCAAGAUGUCCGAAUGGGGAAACCCAGUAGAUGAAGAAUCUACUAUCAAUAAAUGAAUACAUAGUUUAUUGAGGCGAACCGGGAGAACUGAAACAUCUAAGUACCCCGAGGAAAAGAAAUCAACCGAGAUUCUGUGAGUAGCGGCGAGCGAAAGCGGAAGAGCCAGUAAGUUUUAGCUAGCGUAUUAGAGGAAUUGGCUGGGAAGCCAAAUCAAAGAGGGUGAUAAUCCCGUACUCGAAAGUAUGGUAGUGGAACUAAGCUUACGAUAAGUAAGGCGGGACACGAGAAAUCCUGUUUGAAGAUGGGGGGACCAUCCUCCAAGGCUAAAUACUCCUGAUUGACCGAUAGUGAACCAGUACUGUGAAGGAAAGGCGAAAAGAACCCCGGUGAGGGGAGUGAAAUAGAACCUGAAACCCUGUACGUACAAGCAGUAGGAGCGAGGGCAACCUUGUGACUGCGUACCUUUUGUAUAAUGGGUCAGCGACUUAUAUUUUGUAGCGAGGUUAACUGAAUAAGGGAGCCGAAGGGAAACCGAGUCUUAACUGGGCGUUGAGUUGCAAGGUAUAGACCCGAAACCCGGUGAUCUAGCCAUGGGCAGGUUGAAGGUUGGGUAACACUAACUGGAGGACCGAACCGACUAAUGUUGAAAAAUUAGCGGAUGACUUGUGGCUGGGGGUGAAAGGCCAAUCAAACCGGGAGAUAGCUGGUUCUCCCCGAAAUCUAUUUAGGUAGAGCCUUGAGCGGACACCUUCGGGGGUAGAGCACUGUUUCGGCUAGGGGUCCAUCCCGGAUUACCAACCCGAUGCAAACUGCGAAUACCGAAGAGUGAUACUCAGGAGACACACGGCGGGUGCUAACGUUCGUCGUGGAGAGGGAAACAACCCAGACCGCCAGCUAAGGUCCCGAAGUCUAUAUUAAGUGGGAAACGAAGUGGGAAGGCUUAGACAGCUAGGAUGUUGGCUUAGAAGCAGCCAUCAUUUAAAGAAAGCGUAAUAGCUCACUAGUCGAGUCGGCCUGCGCGGAAGAUGUAACGGGGCUCAAAUAUAGCACCGAAGCUGCGGCAUCAGAAUUUAUUCUGUUGGGUAGGGGAGCGUUGUGUAAGCGGAUGAAGGUGGCUCGAGAGGGUUGCUGGACGUAUCACAAGUGCGAAUGCUGACAUAAGUAACGAUAAAACGAGUGAAAAACUCGUUCGCCGGAAGACCAAGGGUUCCUGUCCAACGUUAAUCGGGGCAGGGUGAGUCGGCCCCUAAGGCGAGGCUGAAAAGCGUAGUCGAUGGGAAACGGGUUAAUAUUCCCGUACUUGGAUAAACUGCGAUGUGGGGACGGAGAAGGUUAGGUUAGCAGACUGUUGGAUGUCUGUUUAAGGUGGUAGGUGGAAGACUUAGGCAAAUCCGGGUCUUUAUAAACACUGAGAGCUGAUGACGAGGUCUUAAGGGACUGAAGUAACUGAUACCCUGCUUCCAGGAAAAGCCACUAAGCUUCAGGUUUAUCUAAACCGUACUGAAAACCGACACAGGUGGUCAGGUAGAGAAUACUCAGGCGCUUGAGAGAACUCGGGUGAAGGAACUAGGCAAAAUAGCACCGUAACUUCGGGAGAAGGUGCGCUUACAGUAAUUGUAGUCCCUUGCGGAUGAAGGUGAAGUAAGUCGAAGAUACCAGCUGGCUGCAACUGUUUAUUAAAAACACAGCACUCUGCAAACACGAAAGUGGACGUAUAGGGUGUGAUGCCUGCCCGGUGCUGGAAGGUUAAUUGAUGGUGUUAUCGAAAGAGAAGCUCCUGAUCGAAGCCCCAGUAAACGGCGGCCGUAACUAUAACGGUCCUAAGGUAGCGAAAUUCCUUGUCGGGUAAGUUCCGACCUGCACGAAUGGCAUAAUGAUGGCCAGGCUGUCUCCACCCGAGACUCAGUGAAAUUGAAAUCGCCGUGAAGAUGCGGUGUACCCGCGGCUAGACGGAAAGACCCCGUGAACCUUUACUAUAGCUUGACACUGAACAUUGAAUUUUGAUGUGUAGGAUAGGUGGGAGCCUUUGAAGCAGUGACGCCAGUCAUUGUGGAGGCGACCUUGAAAUACCACCCUUUAACGUUUGAUGUUCUAACGAAGUGCCUGAAACGGGUACUCGGACAGUGUCUGGUGGGUAGUUUGACUGGGGCGGUCUCCUCCCAAAGCGUAACGGAGGAGCACGAAGGUUUGCUAAUGACGGUCGGACAUCGUCAGGUUAGUGCAAUGGUAUAAGCAAGCUUAACUGCGAGACAGACAAGUCGAGCAGGUGCGAAAGCAGGUCAUAGUGAUCCGGUGGUUCUGAAUGGAAGGGCCAUCGCUCAACGGAUAAAAGGUACUCCGGGGAUAACAGGCUGAUACCGCCCAAGAGUUCAUAUCGACGGCGGUGUUUGGCACCUCGAUGUCGGCUCAUCACAUCCUGGGGCUGAAGUAGGUCCCAAGGGUAUGGCUGUUCGCCAUUUAAAGUGGUACGCGAGCUGGGUUUAGAACGUCGUGAGACAGUUCGGUCCCUAUCUGCCGUGGGCGUUGGAUGAUUGAUUGGGGCUGCUCCUAGUACGAGAGGACCGGAGUGGACGCAUCACUGGUGUUCCAGUUGUCUCGCCAGAGGCAUUGCUGGGUAGCUAAAUGCGGAAGAGAUAAGUGCUGAAAGCAUCUAAGCACGAAACUUGCCAAGAGAUGAGUCAUCCCUGACUUUAAGUCAGUAAGGGUUGUUGUAGACUACGACGUAGAUAGGUUGGGUGUGUAAGUGUAGUGAUACAUUGAGCUAACCAAUACUAAUUGCCCGAGAGGCUUAACCAU